AUUAAAACGCUCUCUGAACAGUCGUCAAGAGCCAAUGUUUCAGCAGCUAAUAAUCAUUAUUUAUUCAUUUUGUUUAUGUUCUGCCGCAUUUUAAUUCUGGUGUUGAAGCAGAUAUUCCUAGAUGUCGACAGCGGCUCUAUUUAUCAGCACGUAAAUGCUUUCAAAACUAAGAGUAGAUCAAAUAGCCACUUUUAUAAUCUAUAUCUUUGCGACGUAGAUCUAUGAUCAUCGGUAUGGAAAGUAGAUUCACAAUCGUAGCGUAACGUUUUCUAAUUAACACGAAAUUGUUUUGGACCUGUUUUAUCUGAUUUUUCACAGUGAGAUAAGUGUAAGAAUGCCAUACAACAGCUCUUCGGUGAGCACCGAUGCGUGGCUGUUCGGCCCACUGCCCUGACCCACAAAGAUGAUGAUUGUAUGUAGAUUUUGUAAGUCAUAAUUCAAGCGAGACGACAAUGUGAUGACAGCAUCCAUACGUUUUCUUCGCAUAUCAUAGCAAUAGUGAGAUUCGUGUGACGUGGUCGCCGCACGGCGCGCCCUCCAC
rnacentral:misc_RNA from 1 species